rnacentral:rRNA from 1 species
GACGAACGCUGGCGGCGUGCUUAACACAUGCAAGUCGAACGGAAAGGCCCUGCUUGCAGGGUACUCGAGUGGCGAACGGGUGAGUAACACGUGGGUGAUCUGCCCUGCACUUCGGGAUAAGCUUGGGAAACUGGGUCUAAUACCGGAUAGGACCGCACUUUAGUGUGUGUGGUGGAAAGUUUUUUCGGUGUAGGAUGAGCUCGCGGCCUAUCAGCUUGUUGGUGGGGUAAUGGCCUACCAAGGCGGCGACGGGUAGCCGGCCUGAGAGGGUGUACGGCCACAUUGGGACUGAGAUACGGCCCAGACUCCUACGGGAGGCAGCAGUGGGGAAGAUUGCACAAUGGGCGCAAGCCUGAUGCAGCGACGCCGCGUGGGGGAUGAAGGCCUUCGGGUUGUAAACUCCUUUCGCUAGGGACGAAGCUUUUUGUGACGGUACCUAGAUAAGAAGCACCGGCUAACUACGUG